AACGCGAAGAACCUUACCCAGGCUUGACAUGCCCGUGCACCAGGGGUAACGCCCUGUCCGCGCAAGCGGCGCGGGCACAGGUGCUGCAUGGCUGUCGUCAGCUCGUGCCGUGAGGUGUUGGGUUAAGUCCCCUAACGAGCGCAACCCCCGGGGUCGGUUACAGUUUGUCCGGCCCGACUGCCGCGCGCAACGCGGAGGAAGGUGGGGAUGACGUCAAGUCAGCACGGCCCUUACGCCUGGGGCGACACACACGCUACAAUGGCCGGUGCAGCGGGAGGCGAGGCGGCGACGCGGAGCCAAGCCCACAAUGCCGGUCUCAGUUCGGAUCGCAGGCUGCAACUCGCCUGCGUGAAGCCGGAGUUGCUAGUAACCGCGGGUCAGCACACCGCGGUGAAUACGUUCCCGGGCCUUGUACACACCGGUAUCUC
rnacentral:rRNA from 1 species